rnacentral:rRNA from 1 species
UCGSCACUCUGCAGUCGACGAUGAGCCUUUCGGGGUGGAUUAGUGGCGAACGGGUGAGUAACACGUGGGCAAUCUGCCCUGUACUUUGGGAUAAGCCUGGGAAACUGGGUCUAAUACCGGAUAUGACUGUCGCAUGGUGGUGGAAAGCUCCGGCGGUACAGGAUGAGCCCGCGGCCUAUCAGCUUGUUGGUGGGGUAAUGGCCUACCAAGGCGACGACGGGUAGCCGGCCUGAGAGGGUGACCGGCCACACUGGGACUGAGACACGGCCCAGACUCCUACGGGAGGCAGCAGUGGGGAAUAUUGCACAAUGGGCGCAAGCCUGAUGCAGCGACGCCGCGUGAGGGAUGACGGCCUUCGGGUUGUAAACCUCUUUCGCCAGGGACGAAGCGCAAGUGACGGUACCUGGAUAAGAAGCACCGGCUAACUACGUGCCAGCAGCCGCGGUAAUACGUAGGGUGCGAGCGUUGUCCGGAAUUAUUGGGCGUAAAGAGCUCGUAGGCGGUUUGUCGCGUCGUUCGUGAAAACUCCACGCUUAACGUGGAGCGUGCGGGCGAUACGGGCAGACUUUGAGUUCGGUAGGGGAGACUGGAAUUCCUGGUGUAGCGGUGAAAUGCGCAGAUAUCAGGAGGAACACCGGUGGCGAAGGCGGSUCUCUGGGCCGAUACUGACGCUGAGGAGCGAAAGCGUGGGGAGCGAACAGGAUUAGAUACCCUGGUAGUCCACGCUGUAAACGUUGGGCGCUAGGUGUGGGCGACAUCCACGUGUCGUGCCGUAGCUAACGCAUAAGCGCCCGCUGGAGUACGCGCAGGCUAACUCAAGGAUGACGGGGCCGCAGCGCGGAGCAUGUGGAUUAUCGAUGCACG